AUCUUACUUGGACGGUACUAUAAGAAAGUCAUUUUUUGAUUUUCCAAGUGAAUGGGAAAAAUCGGAUAAUUUACGAAACGUAUUAUUUUCAAACGGCAAAUAUUACGACCUUUCAUAACAUUGAUAACCGAACUGCGUUUAAAAUGGUUUUUCGUUAUCAAUGAUUAAUCGUUGCGUACAGAUAUCAUACAUUCAAUUUCCCUUCUACCUUCACCUACCUUCGCAACUUCUCAUCUACUACAGCGACUCACACAUCGAGCAA